GGUGUAGGCGGAGCGGUAAGUACCUUGUGAAAUCCCGGGCUCAACCCGGGAAUGGCUCGGUAUACUGUCGCUCUUGAGGCAGGCAGGGGCUACUGGAACCUUAGGUGGAGCGGUGAAAUGCGUAGAUAUCUAAGGGAACGCCUGUGGCGAAAGCGGGUGGCUGGGCCUGUUCUGACGCUGAGACCCGAAAGCGUAGGGAGCGAACG
rnacentral:rRNA from 1 species